AACGAACGCUGGCGGCAUGCCUAACACAUGCAAGUCGAACGAGACCUUCGGGUCUAGUGGCUCAUGGGUGCGUAACGCGUGAGAACCUGCCCUUAGGUUCGGAAUAACUCGCCGAAAGGGGUGCUAAUACCGGAAAAUGUCCUCAGACCACAUAUUGAUCGCGUUUGGAUGGGCCGGAGUUGGAUGAGCUAGGUGGUAGGGUAAAAGCCUACGAAGGGGUCUAUCCAUAGCUGGUCUGAGAGAAAGAUCAGCCACACUGUGACUGAGAAACGGCGCGGACUCCUGCAGGAGGCGGCAGUGCGGAAUGUUGGACUGUGGGGGGAAGGCUGAUCCAGCUAUGCCGCUUGAGUGCUGAAGGCGUUAGGGUUGUAAAGCACUUUUACCCGGGAUGAUAAUGACAGUACCGGGAGAAUAAGCUCCGGCUAACUCCGUG
rnacentral:rRNA from 1 species